rnacentral:lncRNA from 1 species
UAAUGAGGUAAAACAUGUUUCUUUUUGGCAGAAAAGCCAUUUCCUAUAGGUUUUGUUGUUGCUUGGUUCGUUGCUUGGCCAACAGAAUGACUUUGGGAAAAGAGAAAGAAGAUAUAGGGAAACGGCCUUUGAAUGGCCUCUACAUUCAUUCCAAUGGGUCAAAUCCUAAAAUCUGGAGAGAAACUUCCAUGGUAGGGUUUGGUUGCCUGAGCUUUCAAACAGCAAAUUGAAUUUCUUUCUUUUCCAUGUUGGAAUGCUCCCUUGAUUGUACAUUUAGGCCUUCAAUAAAUCU